AAGGCCUCUCAGACUUCAUCUCCAUGGCAACCAUGGGAGACAUGGACUACUGUCACAGAACCGAGUAGCUCCUCAUACAUACAGUCACACAGGUCAGUUGCUAUUCACCUCUGGACCACCUGUGACAAAAGCAACUGGGUUUUAAUUGCCUCUUCAGCAUGAGAGAGGAAAAUAAGAGAACGAAUUGACCCCACCUACAAGUCUUGGACCAUCUCGAGUCCCAGAUGCUGAGAAGAGAUGGGCUGGAGCCCGAGGAGCAGCUCCCUGAGACCUCAGGUGAUUCUGUAUCCCUAGACAAGGGGGCUGUCUGAGAUCUGCUUCCCCAGCCAGGGGCUGCAGCAAUGCCGGGACUAACAACUGUGGAAGAAUGGAAAUCUGCUACCAGCCAGUGGUCUUCCAGAGCUCUCAAAAGCAGUUGACAGAAGCUACAUUAUUGGUCAGAAUGGACAGUUGCUUUAAAUACCUUAAAAAGAGAUGUAAUUAGCUACCAGAGAUAUCACAUUUCCUAAGAGGAAGGACUCCAGAAAUGACACUUGCAUGUGAAACAGCGUGUGAGCUUCUGGAGGGAGGCGGACGUAUCCUGCAAGCUGCAAGUGCUAAUUUGAGGGCUGCUGCUGCCAAAUGCUCAAUCUCCAGAAGAAAUUGUUCUCAGUGAUAAGCCUGAGGUUUUCAGCAAGAAGUAGACUGAGGAAAUGGCCUCUGAUAAUAAAUAAUCCCAGAAACAUCA